UGCCCAGCAACUUCUAUCCCUACCUCCUCGCGGUACUGGCCGGGGAACGAGCCACUUUAGGGAAGUUCGGGUAACCAACCUCGGUGGGUGCUUGGGUCGUAUGCUGACAGAGAAUG
rnacentral:ribozyme from 1 species